CCGCCACAGGAGUCACUAGUGCGCGAUGAGACAAGGACAUCCCUACUGGCCAAACCCUCCCUAACACGGACGAUGCUGGGCCAAUUGUGUGCCGGUCCAUGGGUCUCCCAGUUGCAGCCGGCUGCGACAGAGCCUGGACUCAAACCCAGAAUCUCUAGUGGCACUGCGCCACCCAGGAGGCUGAAAAGGGAUUUUUAAUGACUCCAACCUAAGUGUGUGUAAACCUCUGACUUCAAAUGUAGGUGUACAGGUGCCCAUUAUUAGCAACCAUCACUCCUGUGUUCCAAUGGAACGUUGUGUUAGCUAAUCCAAGUUGAUCAUUUUAAAAGGAUAAUUGAUCAUUAGAAAACCCUUUUGCAAUUAUGUUAGCACAGCUGCUAACUGGCCUUCUUUAGACUAGUUGAGCAUCAGCAUUUAUGGGUUCAAUUACAGGGUCAAAAUAGCCAGAAACAAAGUCCUUUCUUCUAGAACUCCUCAGGCUAUUCCAUGCGAGAAAUUGGCAAGAAACGUACAAUGCUGUGUACUACUCCCUUCACAGAACAGCGCAAACUGGCCCUAACCACAGUAGAAGUAGUGGGAGGCCCUGGUGCACAACUGAGCAAGAGGACAAAGUACGUUAGUGUCUAGUUUGAGAACAGACACCUCACAAGUCCUCAACUGGCAGCUUCAUUAACCUCCAGGCUGUGUAAGGGCUAUUUGACCAAGAAGGAGAGUGAUGGAGUGCUGCAUCAGAUGACCUGGCCUCCACAAUCACCCGACCUCAACCCAAUUGAGAUGGUUUGGGAUGAGUUGGACCGCAGAGUGAAGGAAAAGCAGCCAACAAGUGCUCCACAUAUGUGGGAACUCCUUCAAGACUGUUGGAAAAGCAUUCCAGGUGAAGCUGGUUGAGAGAAUGCCAUGAGUGUGCAAAGACGUCAAAGGCAAAGUGUGACUACUUCGAAGGAUCUAAAAUAUAUUUUGAUUUGUUUAACACUUUUUUUGGUUACAUGAUUCCAUGUCUUAUUUUAUAGUUUUGAAGUCUUCACUAUUAUUCCUAAAUGUAGAAAAUAGUAAAAAAUAAAGAAAAACCCUUGAAUGAGUAGGUGUGUCUAAACUUUUGACUGGUACUGUAUAUACACACAUUCACACACAGUGUAUGGAGGUGUAUGCUCAAUACAAAAUUAUAACUCACCUCUGUGCCUCAACAUUGGAAGAGAAUUACUUAAAGAAUUAAUGUAAUAGUUAGUCUGACUGCUACCCAUUGAAAUUAUAAAUAUUCUAUUCUACAAUAAAAUAAGACUCCAAGCUGACACAAUCCGUUAUUUAGCAUUUUUUCCUAUUGGGUUGAAAAUAAUCUGAAACACAACCAAAACAAACAGGAAAUGCAUCCAACAAAUUAGUAGUCACAAGUUUGAUGUAGUUUGUGUGCUAUGACUAUGGGACAAAAUACUUAACUUUAACUACUUUAAUACAAAUAAUUUAAUUUGUCCCAUAAAAUGUGAGGACUAGGUACACAAAGUGCUAUAUAUUUCAAAAUGGUUCACCCUAUAUGGAUGAAAAUACCCCGAAAUUAAAGCUGAUAGUCUGCACUUUAACCUCAGUCAUUGUAGCAUUUCAAAUCCAGAGUCCCCCCAAAAAACAAAAAUCCCAAUACUUUGAGCUAACUGUAUCUGUAUUGUUGUCCAUUUGUUUACUCCAAUUAUAUAUAUGUUUUUAUUAACCCUACAGGCCCCAGAAUCAGCAGUGACUGGCCGGUGAUGGGCAUGCCCCCACAGAUCAGCGGGGAGAAAAAAAAAGAUUGUCGACUGGAAACUGUUUUAGUACCACAGACUCCACAGGAAGACACUCAAACCAUAGGGUGCCGUCAAAACCCGCAACACCGGCCACAGAUGAGACGGACAGACUCACAGCUCCACUGUUAAGCAGAGAGGGGGAGCCUCUCUCUUCAAACUGAGAACUCACAGAACGCCACUACACCUCCAAAUGACACCACCAGACAAUUAAUACAGGAAUCAAGGACCUGUAAAAUUGUUCUAUAACUGUCCAAAACGAACAGAACAUGUCAAACUGAGGAAUGCUACUAGCUAAGGAAAGGAAUUACGUUUUUAUACUGUAUGCUACAGAACUCUCAAAUCACUCCUUGUCCAGUCUCCAUCCUGCCCCUGUUCUUCCUUCCUCAGUCUUUUCACAAUGUUUCUGUUGUCUUAUUUAUAUGCUGAUCUCAAAUAGAUCAAACUGUUAUUUUUAAUGACUGUGCAUAUUCUUCUGCUUGCAUUCUAGAGGCUGCAAGAGAUCUUUACAGAUGUAAAUAAACUAUGUUAACUUGUGACUUGGACUUGUGCUUUCACUGCAGGUACACACAUCCUUUCGAAAAUCUAUGCAGAACUGCAGAACCUGGCAGGGUUUUCAUGAAAAAGGGUGACAGAGGGUAACUUACACUAAAGAAAAUAAUUAACGUUUCUGGUCUGUGAAUUUACCACUGGGUUAAUUCAAGUUAACAGAUCAGUAGUAUUCCAAGCAGGCAAUAUUUGGCACAGAACGUCUUAAUGACAUAAUUUGUUUGUAAACCAUUUCUGGGAUAUGAUAUAACCAGAUUACAA
ensembl:lncRNA